GACGAACCACACAAACGUUUAUUCGGAAUCACUGGGCUUAAAGGGUGCGUAGGCUGCGCGGAAAGUUGGGUGUGAAAUACCUCGGCUCAACCGAGGAACUGCGCUCAAAACUACCGUGCUUGAGGGAGACAGAGGUGAGCGGAACUUAGGGUGGAGCGGUGAAAUGCGUUGAUAUCCUAAGGAACACCCGUGGCGAAAGCGGCUCACUGGGUCUCUUCUGACGCUGAGGCACGAAAGCUAGGGUAGCGAACGGG
rnacentral:rRNA from 1 species